rnacentral:rRNA from 1 species
AUGGUAGAGGAGAAGAGGGAGAGGGCGGAGGAGGCGUCCGAGAGCCCGCAGAAAUCCCCGCGCCUGGACCCGCUGGCUGGUCCAGGAUGCAGCGACGCGCCUGCGUCUCCGACGGAGUCGAGCGACGAGUGGCCAUCGUCCGGGGAAGUGGAGGCGGGGAUCAGCAGCGACAGCACCGGCGACAGUAUGGACGACAGCGGGCGGUGCGACCACAUACGCUUCGACCUGGAUAUGGUGGUACAUGAUCUCAAGGUCGCAAACCAGGUCCUCAAGGAGCCUCGGAAGUGCCAGCAUCGUAAUUGCAAGACGACCUGGGAGGGAGCCAGUGAGGACGACCAAGGGAUGAUGAAGUGCAUAGACUGCUCAUAUUUCUUCUGCUCUGGGUGGCCGGUGGACAGGGAUGAUCCGCAGGGACACGCCCGCUGGCACGCCGGCGAGCACCAGCAUUGGGUUGCUCAGUGGUGCGAUGAACCGAAUUUGGGAUACUGCUUCAUGUGUGCACGCCCUAUGAGGCUCAGUGACUGGAGCGAAGAUGACUAUGCAGUGGCGGCCAGAAAUGAAAAGGAUCAGCAGAUGCCGGGGGAUAGCGUUGCAAAGGAUGGCUGGGGAUCGGUGUCCGGCAUUGCAAAGGAUGAGCGGCAAAGGGUGCCCAGAAUUGCAAUGGACGAUGUUGCGUCUGGGUAUGCUAUUGGUGAUGGCCACGUUAUCAAAGGGAUGCCGAACCAUGGACAAACAUGCUUCAUGAAUGCAACGCUGCAGUGCCUCCUUGCGCUUGGUAAGCUGAGGACAAAGAUUCGAAGUCCGGAUGCUCAUUUGGGGAGCAUUGGUCUGCACCUGCAGCAGUUGUUCAAAGAGACACGCAUUUCGAAUGAUGCCAGAGGCAUGCUGGACCCAUGCAUGAUACUGGCAGCUGUGCGUGAGCGUUAUCCGAAUCGGUUCGAGGCCUGGAAGAUGGAAGACAGCCAUGAGUUCCUUCUGUCUUUAUUCAAUGCUGUGAACGCGGAGGUGGAGGUGGAAAACGGUAGGCAUGUCUUGGAAGGGGGUGAAGUGUUUCCUACAUUUCACGUUUCUCUUUUCGGGGGUCAGCUGUUUGAGACCACAUCCUGCCAAAGGUGCCCGCCUAAAGAUCCUAAAACCGUUGAUUUCGGUGAACUCUAUUUGUCACUUCCAGAGAAGGAUCCUCCAGCCAGAAGCGUUGCAUCACCACCAAGGAACAAAAGCCACGGAUCUCAAACUGACAAGAGUGAUGGAGAUAAUAAGAUUCAAACAACUGCUGAAGGCAGUACUUCUCCUAUUUCCGGUUCAGGAUUGGGAGAUGGGGCAAUGGAGAAAACCCCCAAGCCUUUGCAAGUUGAUUCUAGCGAAGUGAAGGAUGUUGUACACGGUCAUAUGCAGACUCAGAAGAAUGAUGUCCCACAAGAGAUCAAUGAGGUGCCAAUAGAAAUUUUGGAUUUCAUUCCUGACUUAUUUGAUGACACUGAAGGAAUGGAGGAAGCAACAAUAGAUUCUCGCAAUCCAGAAGAUAAGGAGACGACUUACUCAGUAAAAGUUACUACCAAAGAAAAGGAGGAAGCUCAGAGCAGUGAUAUUGUUCAUGAUGAGGCCGGACAUAUGAACUCUCUUGUGUCGAUUGAGGACUGCCUGGAACUGUUUGCGCGUCGAGUGUUGGAACGUUGUGAGAACUGUUCCAAGGUUGCUGAACAGAUCAUGGCAAGCACCAAUAUAAAUACGACAGUUGAUAGAGAUCAGACUGAGCUGUCAGACAGGAAAACAUGCCCAAGUGAGCGAUCUAGUGACUGUAAUAGCUUGUCCGUAGAAUCUCCAAGUAGGCAACCAUAUCGUUCAGAUGUACAUCAUCAAGUUAUACUCUCUGAAAACAUAACUACUGAAGAAAUCACUUCAGGGGCGAGCUGUGGUGAAAAGGACUCCGCCUCUUGCAGCACAGCCAGUGAAAAAGCUGAAAUUGAUCAAGGUGUACAAGAAGCUGGGCUUCCAGCUGAUAAACAGACUGACCUGCUCAGUGCCCAGGAUAGUCCGGAUACCAGCACUCAAAAUCAGGGUUGUGCGAAGCAGGCAAUGCUGGAUGAUCAUAUUGCCCAACAAAUGGAGGAAAACCAAAGUGAGCAGAAAGAUGGCAACAGUUGUGCAAUUCAAACACAGUUGAUUAACAAGCUACCAGCUGUAUUAAUCAUUCCAUUCAAGAGAUACAGCAAUGAUCUUUCUAAACUGAGAGGGCAUGUGAGCUUUAAGGAGAUUCUUCAUCUUGGACCAUUCAUGGACCCCAGGUCUGAGGACAAAGAUAACUGCAGCUACCGUCUAGUUGGUGUCAUUGAGCACGAAGGGCAUCAAAUAAAUGGAGGGCACUACAUUGCUUAUGUGCGGGGGGCAGGUCACAACCAUCAGAGCAGUGGUUCUUCCUCGUGGGUUCGUGCAAGCGAUCUCGACAUCAAGGAAGUCUCCCUAGAAAAAGUUCUCGGCCGCGAGGCGUACAUGCUUUUCUACGAGAGGAUGGAGGACUGA